rnacentral:rRNA from 1 species
CACGGGGGGAGCAAGCGUUGUUCGGAAUCACUGGGCGUAAAGGGCGUGUAGGCGGUCAGGUAAGUGGGAUGUGAAAGCCCUCGGCUCACCCGAGGAUCUGCAUCUCAAACUGCCUGGCUUGAGUAUGGGAGAGGAUGAGGGAAUUCCUGGUGUAGCGGUGAAAUGCGUAGAUAUCAGGAGGAACACCGGUGGCGAAGGCGGUUCUCUGGGCAUGUCCUGACGCUGAGGAGCGAAAGUGUGGGGAGCGAACAGG